CUCACAUUAAAGAAACACUAUAGUCCCCAGAACCACUUCAGCUUAAUGUAGUGGUUCUGGUGUCUAUAGCCUGUCCCUGCAGGCCUUUUAAUGUAAACACGGCGGCACUGCAGCACUGGCGUUGGUUAACAUGGCAAAUCAUAUGGCUGGGGCAUUGUGAUGUCACAUGGGGGGCGGCAAACUUUACUUUUGCCUAGGGCGGCAAAAACCCUUGUACCGGCCCUGGCUG